GAAAAGUUUGGGCAGGAUGGAGCCGACUCAGCUGAACUGCGCGCCAGAAGCCAGUGGGGAGUAAAAAAACGGGGAGAAGCAAAAGCAAGAAAGAGGAAGGAACUGAGAAAGUGAAAAUUACGUUUAAAAAUAAUAAUCUCCCAAYACAUGACGCCUGGUGGGGAAAGUCAAUGACUUUGCACGCUGAGGUGCAUCUCUGUGUGCUGCGGAUGGCAAAGCUGGAUAUAUUUUGCUGACUGGCUCUGUCUCAUCCCCCCUUCCUCCUCACCUGGCCAUCCGGAAAAGGAGAUGUUAUCUGAGGUGUUAUCUGAGAGGGACGGCACAGGCAUAUUUUGUAGCACAGAGACGAAGAGAAAUACAAGGUUUUUCUCUCUGGCUGAUGAGCGGGGACCAAACGUACCCAUUCUCUAGCAGGGUGCUCCCUCUCUCGUGCGCAGACUUUCUGAGUUGUGAGCAAGUACACCAAAGUCUUAGUUUUUCUACCUGA
rnacentral:lncRNA from 1 species